rnacentral:rRNA from 1 species
GACGAACGCUGGCGGCGUGCUUAACACAUGCAAGUCGAACGGAAAGGCCCUGCUUUUGUGGGGUGCUCGAGUGGCGAACGGGUGAGUAACACGUGAGUAACCUGCCCUUGACUUUGGGAUAACUUCAGGAAACUGGGGCUAAUACCGGAUAGGAGCUCCUGCUGCAUGGUGGGGGUUGGAAAGCUUCGGCGGUUGGGGAUGGACUCGCGGCUUAUCAGCUUGUUGGUGGGGUAGUGGCUUACCAAGGCUUUGACGGGUAGCCGGCCUGAGAGGGUGACCGGCCACAUGGUGACUGAGGUACGGCCCAGACUCCUACGGGAGGCAGCAGUGGGGAAUAUUGCACAAUGGGCGGAUGCCUGAUGCAGCAACGCCGCGUGCGGGAUGCCGGCCUUCGGGUUGUAACCCGCUUUCGCCUGUGACGAAGCGUGAGUGCCGGUAAUGGGUACAGAAGCACCGGCUAACUACGUG